GAUGACCCUAUAGGUCGGGCUUGGAGGGCGCCGGCUCUCUGGCGGCAGACUGCCCUCGUCUGGGCGCUGGGCAGCCGGCGGCCUCCGCGGUCUCCAUGGUAACGGCCCGGCCGGCGUCUCUGCCUCGGGGGGAAGAUGCGGCCUGCCGGGUCCGCCGCCUCGCCCCCGGCCUCACGGGAGGGCCGGGGCCACUGAGAAGGCAGGUCCCGGCCGCCGGACGGCGGGGCGUUGGUCGCCAGUGAAAUCUCGUUCUCUGGCUGGAGACACAGAUGGCCUCAAAUGAGAGAGAUGCUAUAUCGUGGUACCAAAAGAAGAUUGGAGCAUAUGAUCAGCAGAUAUGGGAAAAGUCAAUCGAACAGACACAGAUUAAGGGCUUCAAAAACAAACCAAAAAAGAUGGGUCACAUAAAGGCAGACUUGAUUGAUGUUGACUUAAUCAGAGGCUCAACAUUUGCCAAAGCCAAACCUGAAAUUCCAUGGACAUCUCUGACUCGGAAGGGGCUUGUUCGAGUUGUGUUUUUUCCACUUUUCAGCAAUUGGUGGAUUCAAGUUACCUCUUUAAGAAUCUUUGUUUGGCUGCUACUGCUUUACCUCAUGCAAGUGAUAGCACUCGUGUUAUAUUUUAUGAUGCCUAUCGUGAAUGUAAGUGAAGUCCUCGGACCCUUGUGCCUUAUGUUACUCAUGGGAACUGUCCACUGUCAAAUUGUGUCUACUCAGAUAACAAGGCCAUCAGGGAACAAUGGAAAUCGGAGAAGAAGAAAAUUACGAAAAACUGUGAAUGGUGAUGGGAGCCGAGAAAAUGGAAAUAACUCCUCUGAUAAAGCCAGAGGAGUGGAAACUUUGGAAUCUGCACCCCUUAAUGGUAGUUUUUGGAGGACUCUCUUUGGCAACAGGAUGAAAAGAGUUAAAUUAAUAUGUAACAGAGGGACGGAAACUGACUAUGAUUCAGGUUGUCUGCAUCCUAUCAUCAAGAAGAGGCAGUGUCGACCAGAGAUCAGAACGUGGCAAACAAGAGAGAAAGCGAAAUUUUCCGAUGGAGAAAAGGGCCGUAGGGAGUCUUUCAGGCGUUUGGGUAAUGGGAUUUCAGAUGAUCUGUCAAGUGACGAUGACGGUGAAGCCCAGACACAGAUGAUGAUACUGCGGAGGAGUGUGGAAGGGGCCUCAAGUGACAACGGUUGUGAAAUUAAGAGUAGAAGAUCAAUACUUUCAAGACACCUAAACACUCAGGUAAAAAAGACCACUUCCAAGUGGUGCCCUGUUGUGCGGGAUUCAGAUAGCCUGGCUGAAUCAGAGUUUGAAUCAGCAGCCUUCAGUCAGGGCUCUAGGUCUGGCAUGAGCGGUGGCUCUCGAAGCCUCAACAUGUUGAGAAGAGACUCGGAGAGCACCCGCCACGACUCGGAGACGGAGGACAUGCUAUGGGAUGACCUGCUGCAUGGCCCCGAGUGCCGGUCAUCUGUCACCAGCGACAGUGAGGGGGCACAUGUGAGCUCCCUUCACUCAGGGACCAAACGGGACCCCAAAGAGGAUGUUUUCCAGCAGAACCAUUUAUUCUGGCUUCAGAACUCAAGUCCUGCCUCUGAUCGAGUUAGUGCGAUAAUCUGGGAAGGGAAUGAGUGCAAAAAGAUGGAUAUGUCUGUGUUGGAAAUAAGUGGCAUCAUCAUGAGCAGGGUUAAUGCAUAUCAGCAAGGAGUAGGUUAUCAGAUGCUGGGAAAUGUCGUCACCAUUGGAUUAGCGUUUUUCCCUUUUUUACACCGACUCUUCCGUGAGAAGAACCUUGACCAGCUAAAAUCCAUCUCAGCUGAGGAGAUCUUGACUCUCUUUUGUGGGGCACCACCUGUUACACCUAUUAUUAUUUUGUCUAUAAUUAACUUUUUUGAGCGACUGUGUCUUACCUGGAUGUUUUUUUUCAUGAUGUGUGUGGCAGAGAGAACAUAUAAACAGAGAUUUUUAUUUGCAAAACUCUUCAGCCAUAUUACUUCUGCCAGGAAAGCUAGGAAAUAUGAAAUACCUCAUUUCAGACUUAAAAAGGUGGAGAACAUUAAGAUAUGGUUAUCACUGCGUUCCUUUCUAAAGAGACGGGGCCCACAGCGAUCAGUGGAUGUGGUUGUGUCUUCUGUCUUCCUACUGACACUUUCCAUUGCUUUCAUUUGUUGUGCCCAGGUACUCCGUGGACAUAAAACUUUCCUAAAUGAUGCUUAUAAUUGGGAGUUUUUGAUCUGGGAAUCAGCUUUACUACUUUUCUUACUGCGCUUAGCCUCAUUGGGGUCUGAAACCAAUAAGAAAUACAGCAAUGUCUCAAUAUUACUUACUGAACAGAUUAAUUUAUAUCUUAAAAUGGAAAAAAAGCCGAAUAAGAAAGAACAGCUUACCCUAGUAAACAAUGUGUUAAAGCUAUCCACCAAGUUGUUAAAAGAGCUGGACACCCCAUUUAGACUCUACGGACUGACAAUGAACCCCUUAAUCUACAAUAUCACACGAGUGGUUAUCCUCUCCGCAGUCUCAGGUGUUAUAAGUGAUCUUCUAGGAUUUAAUAUAAGACUGUGGAAAAUUAAGUCAUAAGCUGAGUCAUGUGCCUGGACUCUCUCCCCUUGCUGGCAUCAGUGCUUACCCCAUUAAGGAAAGAGAUGACUGCAAAACCAUGAGACACCCGCCUGCUUGUUCAUACGCAGAGUGUUUUGACAGGUGACUCAAUAGAAAUCAUAAGGAACAAGAACGAUUAUCUCGAAGCCAGGAUUGAGCAGCUCUGUGCAGAUUUCAGUUAUUGGUGUGCAUCUUGAAUAGUGAAGUUUGAAUUUCACAAAUGUGCAAUAAUUCCAUACCUUUCCUGCAGUACAUCCUGCGCCUAUAUGCUGUAAUAAGGUAUUACUCAAGGUAACAAUUACUGUUUUAUAUUAAGGACAAAAUAAGCCUCUUGACUUGUGUUUUCACUAAGAGUUCACUUGGCUUUAAUACAAACAUUGUAUAAUAGACAAAUACCCACAAGAUUCUUUGGAAAAAUAUAGGUUCAGGCUAAAUUAAAGCACUUGGCUAUGCUUUUGUGUUUUAAUGUAUAUAUGAGAAAGGUUCAGAGUUCUUUAGCAGAUAAAUUCUACUCUUCAUAAGCCUUCAUACUCCUCUCUUACACUUAAGGUUCUACUUGCACUGAAACAUUGAAAACAUAUCCAAGUUAGUGAAUAUCUUAAAACUAAUGCAGUUAACUGAAGCAAAGAUUAUAGAGUUGAUGUCAUAAUUAUGCUGUGCAUUAACCAGUCAUUGUACUGCUCAUAAACCUUAAUAGCAUGAAAAAUAAAAGAGCUGCCUAAAUAAGUAAAUAUGUUACUGUUUAAAAGUACAUGCAGUUCUCAGCACUGGAGCAUGCCAGGAUGAUGUAAGAAGUUGCUCUGAUGAAUUCUUCAUGCCAAACUGAAUCAUCACAUUUUGUGACUGAAGUCUGUUUACACCAGUGUUCCUUAGUUCUCGGAGCUCACUCUGGACCAGACUUCAGCCUAAGCACAUCUCUGUGGAGGUCACAGCCGCUUCUCAGCCACACCAGGGGCGCCUGUGGCUCUGCUCGCACUUGGUACCUUCCAGGGUCCUGGAGUUAUUGCUGUUUUCCUAGCGGGAGAACCACUUUCAGGCACAGUGUCCUUUAAUUCUUCUGCCUUUUCACAUAUCUGGACUUUCAUCAAUGAUUCUUCAGUUACUGGCACAUGAGACUCUUCAAAUAUGGAAGCAGAGUGUGAAGAUGGGUGACACGGUGACUGUUCAUCAUAAAUCACAUUGGAAGAUGUAGGGUUAUUAAUAUCCCAAUCACCUAAAAAAAUUCAUUUUGAGAAGAACAUUAUUAAAUUUUAGAAUUAUAAAUAGGAACAAUUAAGUUUUGAACUUUGAUAGCCAUUUGAAUUUUACUGACUGCUUAAACAGACUAAGUAUUUUAUAAAGUUCAUGUAUAUCUCUCUCUAUAAAGGCAGAUGUAUACAGACAACUGUACUUGUACAUGAAAGGUAGGUUGUUUCUUAAAUAUAUAGAAAGUAAUAGCAUUCGUUUUUCUAAUUACUUUUCAUAAGUGUGAUAAUAUAUGAUGUGUAAAUUCUUUAUAAGUAGUAAAAGCCCAAUAAAAAGCUUAAAAGAAAUAACUAAUAAAAUUGGACCAAAUUAUCUGGUCCAAGCAGCUUACUAAUUUAGCUAUUAUUGAUGGAUAUAGCUUAAAGAUUUGCCAAAAUCCACUAAUAAAGGAAACCAAACUAUGGUAACCAGAAUGGAGUUCAUGGGCAUUUGUAAAUAAUUCUCUUGCAUUAAGCUGUUAAAUUUAAUGUCAAAAGGAAACUGAAAAGUGCAGAAGAUAGAAGUAGAUGUAUUUAAUAGCAUCAUUUUUAAUUAAAAAGAAAAAAAAAAAGGAGGAAGUGAUUUACAAGACAUGCAAAUUUACCAAAUCUUUUUAAGGAAAGACCAAGAAAAGCCCUGAAAGCCUUAAUGUUGCUCAGGUUUCACGUAGGAGCACAGACCGGAAGGAGCCAAACCUGAAGAAGGAAGAGAGAAAGCCUAGGACUGUGUAAAAAAAUACAUCACAGCGCAGUUAGCAAAGCUGCCACUGGGGACGCAUGAUUUACAAGCAGAUGAUGGAAGGUAAUACAGUCAGAGAAUUACAGACUGGAAGGGGCCUACAGGAGAUGAUGUCUACACUUCACCCACAAAAGUUCUACGGGGGAAGGAAGGAAGCUGGAAGGGACAAGGACUAAGUGGUGUGGUACUGUCAACUAGUGCACUCAGCAGAAAAAUGGUGAUUUUUCUAACUCUGAUAUUUCAGAAACAUACAGUGAAUCCAAGGGAGUUUAAUAUCAGUACAGGACUACAGAAAUGGUCCCAGGUCCAUAUCUUUGUCUCCAGGUAGCGCCAUAGGUAACUUGUUUUUGACGAAUGACCAGAAAAGCCUAAGGUUCCUAUGCUGUUCCUUAAGAAAGAAACUCAUCUUACUACAGGAGAAAAAGUAACAUUUGAAGAGAUUGCAAAUGGUUUUCAUGACAUUAAAAUCCUUUGCCUCUCAUGUUCUUAUUUUCUCCAGGCACAUUUCUCUGCAAAAGCAACUAUGUUUUCUAUUGAAAGUAGCUUAACAUAUAUUCUGUUGCAAUAAAAGUUCUGUAUGAGGUCACUUA